CCUCGUACCGGGAUGCUGCGGGAGCGAUCGGCGCGUCGGAAGACCGAGGGUGGCGAUGGAGCUCGGCAGGAGGACCGGGACAAGGAUCGGGGCCAGGACCGGGACCGCGACCGGAGGAGCGAGGCGGCCCCAGGAGCUGGCACUGACCGUGCCGCGGGUCGGGCACAGGCUGCUCCCAGCUCUGCCUGCGGAACUUCGGCAAUUACCGACAGCAGUUCUUUGCCCUGCCAUCCAGAAGGUGCGGCUCAUCUGACACCAGCCAGACGGGGAAGGCCCUGCCUGGGAGGGAAACGGCUACAGGGGAGGAAACCAAGAAAUGCUCCAACCGGAUGGUGCUGCGCGAGUCAAAAGAGGGGCAAGACCGCGGGCAAAUACAGUCAGGAAAUGAGCUUUUAUUCAAUCUCUGCAGGAGCCCUUCGCAGCCACGGGCCGGAGGGAGCGCGGCCGGCUGGGCUGUGCCCGGCUGGGGACGGGCACCAAUUCAUCGCUGCCCUGCUCAGGGAGGUUUUCCGGCCCCGUCCGGGCUUCACCCAACGGCUGCAAAGGUGCUCGUGCGGCAUCCGAGCUCAUUUCCAGGGAUAAAGGAGCCAAACGAGUCCGGAGGGAUCCCUCGCUCCGAGGCAAAGGCGUUUGGUCGAGUGUCGCCGCCUGGUCCCGCCUGCGGGGGAGCGUCUCCUCCAGGUGAGCCUUCGGAACCCAAAAUGCCGGGGGGGCUCAGGUCGGGGCCGCUUUUCGGGCCCGGAGUUGGACGGAGCCCUCGGCGGCUCCCGCUUCCCGCCAGGAACGUUCUCGGGGCUCCCUGGGCAGUCCCAGCUGGGCAGGGAAUGCGGGCCGGGAGGAGGCCGGAGCGACAGACAGCGACCCAGCCCUGCUUGGGCUUCCUAUUGCCAGGGGAUGGAGGAGCUGUGCCCUGGAGCUGUGCCCUACAGCCCCCGUGGGGUGGGCACGGGGAAAGGGCUGCCCGCGGCUCCUCAGCCGGGCGCUGCUCUGAACGGGCCCCCUGAGAUGCCUCACCCUGGACACGCCCCAGCGCCAGCCCCAAAGGACCCAAAGAAUCCAGCUGGCACUCGGCAGUGUCGGCACGGCGGGGCUGCAGAGCAGCGCGGGCAGCCAUUCCCAGGGCCCACCUCCCAGAGCUCCCCGCGCCCCCCACGUGUGUCCCGCCCGCCCCAAAUCCCUGCCCUUCCAGCCGGAGGCCAGCAGCCAGCAGCAGCCUUAAAGCCAGGGCCAUGUGCCCUCAGCGGCACUAAAUCCCGAGCAAGAGCCCUCGGAGACGCCUGAAAAGAAAAGAGGGUGCUUGGAGAAAGUUGGGCUUGGAUGCAAUUCGCAGUUUUUCGGGGACCCAACCGCACCUGCAGAACCCGUGGACAGCUGGAACAGGUGGGUCAGAGCCGAGGUGCCCUGAAGGCAGGGCUGUGCAUCCCUUUCCUCGGGGAAAAGAACUCCCCGGGGCCGCUCCCGAGGCUCGGAAGGGACAGCGGCUUCCCGCCCGGACAGACGUCCUCGCCCGUGCUCAGGGGCUGCCUCGCCCUGGGCCGGGAGCGCGUCCGGCCCCCGCCUUCUCCUGGGCCAACACAUCCCCUGGAGCCCGGCCCGGGGCGGAAAACCGGCCCAAUUCCAGGGAGCUCGCUCAAGUCCCCCCAGGGACACCAGCGGGGCUGGGGGAGGAGGGUUAUAAACAGCAAAGUCUGUGGAAUAUCAACCUGUCCUUGUCCCGAUCCCGCUGAGCAAACCUGGAACCGUGGCUGCUUCCUGGCAAACCUGGCGUUAGAGCGGCAGCUCUGCGGGGGAACAGCCGGGCUCCAGGAGGCACUGGGAGGCUGUUCCAGCAGGAAUUCGGCAAGGAAUUGCGGGCUGUAGGUAGAAUUCAUCCAAACCUGCAAAGCUGAGACCGGCACCCAAACCUGGGCCCCCUGCAGAGAACAAUCUUUGUGCUGCCGUGUCGGCCAAAGCCGCUGCCCAACAGUCCCCUCGUUUGACUUUCUAGGUGAAUUGUGCACAAGCCAGUCCCCCAUUCCCUAUCCAGGCUGGGAGUGCUCGUGCCCUUGGCACAGAUGGCUCUGGCUGGGCAGGAACUGAGAGCAGGACGUGGGGCAGAGUGGAUCAGCUGCCCAGGGAACAUCCAGGAGAUGAAGCUACGGGAUCCUCAUUCCAAUCAAGGGAACACAUUCUGUCUCUGGCAGAAGCCGGGAGCCAAAGCAGAUCCCGCCUGGCCAGGCUGGGGGGCAGCAGUUGGAUCCACUCUGGGGGAAAGCCCCUGUGCCUACCAGGAGCUCUGACUCUGUUUGUCCUGCCAGCUCUGACCAGUGUCAGGGCCACUGGGAGGGAUUCAGAAUCCACAGAAAUCCCAAAUCCUACUGAGGGACUCAAUCAAAGGAAGAAAGUAAUUUUUGUCAUAAAAAGCUUAAAAAAACUGUUAAAAAUUCUAGGACAGCAA